rnacentral:rRNA from 1 species
UGGGGAAUAUUGCACAAUGGGCGCAAGCCUGAUGCAGCCAUGCCGCGUGUAUGAAGAAGGCCUUCGGGUUGUAAAGUACUUUCAGUCGGGAGGAAGGUGGUAAGGUUAAUAACCUUAUCAAUUGACGUUACCGACAGAAGAAGCACCGGCUAACUCCGUGCCAGCAGCCGCGGUAAUACGGAGGGUGCAAGCGUUAAUCGGAAUUACUGGGCGUAAAGCGCACGCAGGCGGUUGAUUGAGUCAGAUGUGAAAUCCCCGGGCUUAACCCGGGAAUUGCAUCUGUGACUGGUCAGCUAGAGUCUUGUAGAGGGGGGUAGAAUUCCAUGUGUAGCGGUGAAAUGCGUAGAGAUGUGGAGGAAUACCGGUGGCGAAGGCGGCCCCCUGGACGAAGACUGACGCUCAGGUGCGAAAGCGUGGGGAGCAAACAGG